GGUAAAUGUAAUGUAAAUUUCUGUAUUCUUUUAGGAGUCUUCCCAUGACUCUUCCGAACUGAAGCCCUACCUCUUAAAGUUAUCCCUAAAAUAAACUACAAGGAAUCUAAUUAAUACAGAGACAAAUUGAUAAAUGAUUAGCAAUCCGGAGUAAAUAAGUGGCCUCUCUAAAACGAAGAAUAUAAAGAUAUUAUUCAGAUUGACAAAUGCAAAGAAAACUCUAAUAUUAAAACAAUAUUAAUAUUCUAAAAUAAAUGUCUAAUAGUAGUUCGAAUUUCAGGUCUACUGCUCACUGUUUACUUUUGGAAAGUAGUUGGUCUGGAUGCAGUAAAUGUUGAGCGUAAAGCCUUUGGAGCCAUUGGUAACUUUCUGAUAGCUGGGAACUUGAGCUUAGAGUUGAAGAACUGAGUAGUCUUUGGUCUCUUUGCAAGCUUAGCAUCAAUUUGAGAAACACGGAUAAUCUGAAUGCUGCUACGUUGAGCACGGUGUGAUCCUGCAAGUUCCUCAUACAUUUGGCUAACAGCUCCAGUCUUGCUAAUGUCUCUGUACUCCUUAUACAUAUAUACAACAUUUGUACGGCUUCUGUAUUGAAGCAAGAUUGCAAAGUUCUUUACAUAUGUUGGUCUCUUCUCGAAAAUACGAGUAACUGAGAGGAUCUCACCAUUGGCCUUCUUGACCUUAUUCAAUCUUGACAUGAAGUAGAAGAAUCUGCUCUUUGCUACAACUUCAUUUGGAGCAAAAAUGCAAACUCUGAAAACUUUUGGAUGUGGAUUAAGCUCUGUUGGCUUUCCACGUCCAAUAACCAUAUAUUGGUUAACUUUCAUUUGUAAUGAUGGAUCUGGCAUUGACUUCAUCUUUUUUUUUUUUCUAUUCAAACAAUAUAAAUCUAAAUAAUUGGUUUUAAAAUGUUUCUUCAAACCAAAGAACUUCUCUUUAUUUACCUGAGUAUUCUGGUAGUUCUGGUCUUGUAAUUUCUAGAACUUAAUUUUUUUUUUGUAUAUUCAAUAUGUAUCUUAU
rnacentral:antisense_RNA from 1 species